rnacentral:rRNA from 1 species
GAUGAACGCUGGCGGCGUGCCUAAUACAUGCAAGUCGAGCGAACAGACGAGGAGCUUGCUCCUCUGACGUUAGCGGCGGACGGGUGAGUAACACGUGGAUAACCUACCUAUAAGACUGGGAUAACUUCGGGAAACCGGAGCUAAUACCGGAUAAUAUAUUGAACCGCAUGGUUCAAUAGUGAAAGACGGUUUUGCUGUCACUUAUAGAUGGAUCCGCGCCGCAUUAGCUAGUUGGUAAGGUAACGGCUUACCAAGGCAACGAUGCGUAGCCGACCUGAGAGGGUGAUCGGCCACACUGGAACUGAGACCCGGUCCAGCCUCCUACGGGAGGCAGCAGUCGGGAAUCUUCCGCAAUGGGCGAAAGCCUGACGGAGCAACGCCGCGUGAGUGAUGAAGGUCUUCGGAUCGUAAAACUCUGUUAUUAGGGAAGAACAAAUGUGUAAGUAACUAUGCACGUCUUGACGGUACCUAAUCAGAAAGCCACGGCUAACUACGUG